rnacentral:rRNA from 1 species
CAGUCGCCACGGUAAUACGAAGGGGGCUAGCGUUGCUCGGAAUUACUGGGCGUAAAGGGCGCGUAGGCGGACAGUUCAGUCGGGGGUGAAAGCCCGGGGCUCAACCUCGGAAUUGCCUUCGAUACUGGCUGUCUUGAGUAUGAGAGAGGUGUGUGGAACUCCGAGUGUAGAGGUGAAAUUCGUAGAUAUUCGGAAGAACACCAGUGGCGAAGGCGACACACUGGCUCAUUACUGACGCUGAGGCGCGAAAGCGUGGGGAGCAAACAGGAUUAGAUACCCGCGUAGUCCCUGUCUCUUAUAC